CACAUCUAACAUGGAGUCAAAUUUGUUCUUUUCUAUUACAAUUUCUUUUUCCACCUCAUAGAUAAUUUUAGUAAGAAACAUGAGCAAUUUUUUUACUUUUGCUUCUUAAUAACGGAUAAGUGGCCCAACUACAGUUUUGUGAACAGGGAUGCUGUGCGGGCAUAGGGGUCACAGCAAAUUCUUGUUGGGGGUGGUCGACCCUGCAACAUGUCUGAUGCCCUGUGAGUGUUGGUGAGAGUCCCCCUAACCAGGGGCUCUCUUCAGGAACCACCAUGUGGGCAUUGACCUCUGGAGACUUCUUUUUCAGCUGUAGGAAAUUUUUUUUAGAUGCUGUGAUGAAAAAAUCACUCCAGCUGGGGAUAAUCAGGGAAUAAAGGAAGGGGAAAAGGGCUUGGAGUAGUGUAGAAGAGAAGGACAGAAGAUCAGGGAGCCUGGGGGCUUGGGGGCAGGGCCUUGGGAGAGAGAGUAGCAGAGGUGGGGAGGGGCCCGGCUCCAGAACCAGCUCCUGCACCUUUCCCUGCACCCAAGCCUCACAGCUUUUAAUUGGGCCCAAGACUCUUUCCUGUCUGGAUGUCACCCUGGGCAGAACGUUGAGAAUCGAAGGUAAGGUGUGGGCAGCACUCACCUAGGGGGUCACUGAGGACUUGGUCAAGUCCACAGUGCCUUUUCUAGUCAUGUGUCUUCACCUGUUCUUUAUCUCAGGAUCUGAGAAGCAGGAGCAAGGAACUCAGGGAGAGAUCCAGGAAGACAUCUGACUCUGUUAAGAGACGACAGUCACAGCGACACGGGGAGCGAGGACACUUGCAGCAAAGUAAAAUGACUUCACAACUAUUGCAUCAGAGCUGCAGGUGUGAGAGAGCCUAAGCCUGUCUCAGAGUGCAGGGGACAAGAGGAAAGGAAUGGCUCCUCAGCUCAGAUGUAAGAAAAGACUCUUUAAACUUCUUGAUGCAGCUCCUUAAUGAAGAUCUUGUGAAGGAAACCUACUCAAAACCUGGGAGCCUAUCCUUCCAAAUGUCCAGGAGACUCUUCCUCAGUCUUGAGUUUCCCGCUGAUGUUACCACUGUCUUUGUUUCUGGAGAGGAAAACAAGUCUAAACUUACUUUCCAGUUGGAAAUGGAAUGGAGAGUUAACGUUGGAAGCCGGGAGAGUCUGUCCUGUGAUGAAGCGGUCUCUGAGCCACUUCCAUGGGGACGUCACGUCACUGUCUGGGCCCCUUGCACAGCCUGUGCACAGCAUUCCUAGGAGAGAAUUCAGCAGUGCAGCAUCCUCUCCGAGCUCUAUGAGUUGAUCGGCUUCCACCACAAGUCCGCCUUCUUCAAGAGGGUGGCCCCCGUGCAGCGCGUGGCCCCCGGCAUUACGGAGCCUGGCGCGAAGGCCUGCUACCGACUCCUUCUGCAGACGCUUCCUGGCUACAGUCUGUCGCUGGAUCUGCAGGACUUCAGCAAAGGUGUUGGAACUAAAACAUUGCUUCAGUCCCAUUAACCAUGCCUGGUUUGGGCCCUGCUGUCCUGUCUCAUCAGGGUGAAUUCUGAUUCGUUUAGAAUAGGGCUCAGCAGACUUUUUCUGUCAAGGGCUUGGGAGUAAGUAUUUCAGGGUCUGCAAACCUCCUGAUCUCUGGUGCAGCUGCUCAGCUCUGCUGUUCAGACGCCAGAGCAGCCGGACAUUCCACACACCCACAGAGCUUUAUUAACAGCGGUGUCUGGGGCUGGAUUCAGUGUAUGAACUGCAGUUUGUCCCCACAGCCUCCUCAUUAUUGACGCCUUCAACAGAGCAUGCAUUUGCGACACUGGGUGAACCUGCACUGACACGUCAUCAUCACCCAGAGCCCAGACUUGACACUAGGAUUUACACUUGGUGGUGUGCACUCUGUGGGUUUGGACAGAUGUGCAAUGACAUGUAUCCACCGUCACAGCAUCAUACAGAGUAGUCUGUCUUAGUGACCUUAAAAUGCUCCGUGCUGCACCUCAUUCAUUGCUCCUUCCCCUCUAGCCUCUGACAGCCACUGAUCUUUUAGUUUCUGUGGUUUUCCCUUUCCCAGAACACCAUACAGUUGGAAUCAGACAGUUGCGGAACCUUCCCAGAUUGGCUUCUUUCACUUAGUAAUAUGCAUUUAAGGUUCCUCCAUGUCUUUCCAUGCCUUGAUAACUCAUUUCAUUUUAGCACCAAAUAAUAGUCCAUUUUCUGGCUGGACCACAGUUAAUCCAUUCACCUACUGAAGAACAGCUUAGUUGCUUCUGAGUUCUGGUGAUUAUGAAUAAAGCUGCUAUUAACAUCUGUA